GUAGUACUUUCUUCUCAUUUGUUGCUUAGAUCCAAUUUAGAGGUGAAAGAGCUAUGACCAAUGUCAUGCCAUGAAUCAUUGAAGUCGUUAAAAACAUACUACAGUAUCUAAAAAGAACUGUCUGAAUGUGAAGGUUUCCCUGUAAAAAUCAUUAUUUUCUUACAGUGAGAGAAACAAGAAAGUACAGUGAUGAAACAGAAGUACUAGUUUGUGUGGCAUCUACAGGAUGUUUGGAAGAGUGAGAUAAGGGACACAUUGAAAACAGAGAGGCAAUCUGAAGGCUACCUUGACACAUCGGCAAAACUCCCAGAUUCUGACUUUCACACUUGCAUUCUGUUUCUGGGCCUCACCUAAACAGACUGCCAAUCAUCCGAGCUGUGGCAGGAUGGAGAUGUUUGUGUAAAGUAGACUCAAGUUUGCAAGGCUCAAGAAGGAAACCACCAAACUAAUUUUACUUUCACUUAAACCAGAUUGAAACCAAGACUUGAAGAAUUAAAAACUUUGACAUUAACCAUUGAUUCACUCCAAUGAAAUAUUGUGUUACAGCCAGAAUCAUGGUGAAAUUGGAAUGCGGCUUUUGAUGGGAUAUUUAAUUGAGGGACUUACAUUAAAUUGGACAUUUUCUUUAGUGAACAGCAUGUGGCCAAAAUUCUAUUUUCAUUAAAGUAUAUUAAGCAUCAUGACAACUCAUAUUAAACCUGCAACAAAUGAUUAAUUACAUUUAGAGACUUCAAAACAAAUGAGAUGUCUUAAAUAAUAAGAAUCAAAAAGAACAUCUCAACGUUAUUUCUAUUCUUAGUAAUUAUAUUAAAAAAAAUCUUUCCUUGCUGUUAAAUCCAGUUGCUAAAAAUAAACUGUUCCCUGAAAAAUCAGAAUGCCUAAUGAUAAAUUUAUUUAUUUGUUUUUUAAAAGAGGAGGAUGGUGAGAAAAAUAGAAAGCUCCUGGCUGACAUCAGAAAUCACAAGAUGAGUUCCUCAUUUGUCCAAAUGACAUUCAGCUGCUAAAAGAAGUCAGACUUUUAGAGGGCUGCUGAGGAGAGAGUAAGUCAGGAGGUUUCCAGUACAUGACUGCAGGGGAAUCAGACACAGACUAGUCACGUAAGUUGUCCAUGCACCCUUAGCCCACGACUUCAGGGCUCAGCAGCUUCAUCCUUCAUGGCACCAAACCUUGAUGUAAGGGAUUCAAAGACACACUAAUAAGAAUAGUGAAUUUGUCCUUACUCAAAAUUUGGGGGACUGUCUAAAAAAAACAAAACAAAACAAGGAGAUCUUAUCCCUCAGUGAAAGGGACUUUAUGUUAAUUGUCAAUUAUAACAAUAUACAAAAUAUGUAAAAAAGAGUUAUAGCACUGCAGGCCAUCAAGGUCAAACAUUUAAAACAAAAUUAGGCUAAAUUUUAAGGAAUAAAUGGCUUUUAUCUUUGUAAAGAAAAGAAUGUGUGUGUAUUGAUUGCCUAUGUAGAAUGAUUUAUAAAUCUUCUGGCAUGGUCAAUUUGUAAUAAAUUACUGAAAAUGUGGGAUUAUGAUGAAACUCUUUAAAUGUGCCAAAUAAAGUCAAGGAAACCACCUAAGUCCUGGGGUGGGCAUGAGUGAGACACUGGGAUAAUCCUGAUGCUACUCUGGGGCUGUCUGUGAGGGGUGGGACAUCAGCUUCCCUACGGGGCUCACCAGAGAUUCCUUCAAGGGAGCAUUUCUUGGUUCUUGGUUUCCAUGUUGUGUUUAUGUCAUGUUGAUAAGCUGGAGUAAAAGCCAAAUCCUUUUGCAUGAUUCAGUUUUGUCUUUUUAAAGAGACACUAUCAUACUUGGUGAACAAGGGUGGUCAAAAAAAUACUUAUAUUUUUCAACUUUUGUUUAGCUUGGAAUAUUGAGUGAUAAGGUUAAAAAAAAGUUUCUUCUUCUUUGGUUGGAGACCCUUCCUCCCACCCUUAUCCCCUUUUGACCAUUGCAAAAUAGCUUAGUCCAAGGAAAGGGAAGAAGACAAAUGAGUGAAAUAAUGCCAGAGUAAGUUAUUGCCAGGAAAAACACACUCGGAUUCAGUUAAUUUGUUCUGUUAAUGUCAAAGGCUGUGAUUCCCAAUUAACUAAUUUUAAGACCCUAUAUCUGAAAGUAGUUACAUCAGCUCUAAAGUUAAUGUCUGAUGAAGAUCACGAUCUUCAAUUCAGAGAACAGGGACCCUAAAGAGGUGGUGAUGUCUGUUUAAGAUCAUCUUGCUAAGUAAAUACACACCGGCUUGGAUUUUCAAACAGCGUUUAGCCCCUUCAGAGAAGUUGAGUGGAGGUGAGAAGGGAGGGAACGAUCCAGAUAUUUUGGCAAUAGAAAAUGUUCCACAAAUCACUGAUUUGUGUAUACUCAACUUACUAAUGACAGAAGCAUACAUACUAGUGAGUCUCUUUGGGAUAGAGACGCUUCUCUAGUUCAAGUGGAAUUAAUUAAAACAGGCAUGUAGUUUGCAAUAUUUCCAGCUCCCGCACCGAAAGGCUCCAUGCACAUAAACCAGAACAGCUUUAGCAGCUGAGAAAAGCUGGGCCAAAAAUGACUCCACCACUUCGCUCCUUUCUCUCCUUUUAUAUUGGAAUGGAAAGAUACAAUAAUAUAUAUAUUUUUAAAAGCAGAACACUCAUGGUUUCUGUACAAUUGCAAGUGCUUUGAUUACCUUUGAAUGGGGUUAACAUAAAAAUAUAUAUGCUCUUAAAAGUCAAGAUCAUAACUUGCUAAUGAAGUCGUGAAUUAUCCAGAAGGAAACUAUGCACAAGCACAUGCCGAAUGGCAGAAUCUCUUGUCUCUAAAAGUUCAGUUAUUGCCUUUGUAAUAUUAAAGGCCAACAGGGAGCUGGAGGGACACCUUUUGUGCUGUCUUGUCAUGUUAUAGGUUUCCAGUUUCAGAUAAAAGAGGAGAAAGGGCCCUUAGAAAGUAAAAAACUUG